rnacentral:rRNA from 1 species
AUUGAACGCUGGCGGCAUGCUUUACACAUGCAAGUCGAACGGCAGCACAGGGAGCUUGCUCCUGGGUGGCGAGUGGCGCACGGGUGAGUAAUACAUCGGAACGUGUCCUAUCGGUGGGGGAUAACUGAGCGAAAGCUCGGCUAAUACCGCAUAAGACCUGGAGGGUGAAAGGUGGGGGAUCGAAAGACCUCAUGCGAUUGGAGCGGCCGAUGCCCGAUUAGCUAGUUGGUGAGGUAAAGGCUCACCAAGGCGACGAUCGGUAGCUGGUCUGAGAGGACGACCAGCCACACUGGGACUGAGACACGGCCCAGACUCCGUACGGGGGCAGCAGUGGGGAAUUUUGGACAAGUGGGGGCAAACCCUGAAUCCAGCCAUGCCGCGUGCAGGAUGAAAGGUCUUCGGAUUGUAAACUGCUUUUGUCAGGGAAGAAAAGGUACGUGCUAAUACCACGUACUGCUGAACGGUACCUG